rnacentral:rRNA from 1 species
GUUAGGAAUAUUGGACAAUGGGCGAAAGCCUGAUCCAGCCAUGCCGCGUGAACGAUGAAGGCCUUCGGGUUGUAAAGUUCUUUAGCCGAUGAUUAUAAUGACUGUAGUCGGAAAAUAAGCCCCGGCUAACUUCGUGCCAGCAGCCGCGGUAAUACGAAGGGGGCGAGCGUUAUUCGGAAUCACUGGGCGUAAAGCGUGCGUAGGCGGUCUCGUAAGUUAGGAGUGAAAGCCCAGGGCUCAACCUUGGAAUUGCUCUUAAAACUGCAAGGCUAGAAUCUCGGAGAGGAUAGCGGAAUUUCCAGUGUAGCAGUGAAAUGCGUAGAUAUUGGAAGGUACACCAGUGGCGUAAGCGGCUAUCUGGACGAGUAUUGACGCUGAUGCACGAAAGUGUGGGGAUCGAACAGGAUUAGAUACCCGAGUAGUCC